rnacentral:rRNA from 1 species
UGGGGAAUAUUGCACAAUGGGCGAAAGCCUGAUGCAGCAACGCCGCGUGAGUGAUGAAGGCCUUCGGGUUGUAAAGCUCUGUCUUCUGGGACGAUAAUGACGGUACCAGAGGAGGAAGCCACGGCUAACUACGUGCCAGCAGCCGCGGUAAUACGUAGGUGGCAAGCGUUGUCCGGAUUUACUGGGCGUAAAGGAUGCGUAGGCGGAUACUUAAGUCAGAUGUGAAAAUCCCGGGCUUAACUUGGGAACUGCAUUUGAAACUGGGUAUCUAGAGUGCGGGAGAGGAAAGUGGAAUUCCUAGUGUAGCGGUGAAAUGCGUAGAGAUUAGGAAGAACACCAGUGGCGAAGGCGACUUUCUGGACCGUAACCGACGCUGAGGCACGAAAGCGUGGGGAGCAAACA